UUGUCUUAGCUCCGUUCUUUUUCUCAUCCAUCUAGUUCCUUUUCUUUCAGCUUGAGUCUGCCAUCUCAGCCAUACCCCCUUCCUUGCGAGCCGCUGGACGACACGCAACAGUUUGGUGCCCAAACAGGGACCUGAAGAAUGGCAGAAGGACACUGAGAGAACACUGUCCAUGUGGAACUCCACGGGAAAAGCAAAUGGUCUUCAUAUCGGGCACUGGAGCAACAAAUAGGAGCAUGGAGCUGGGAGGAAGUACAAGGCCCCACUUCUACAUUGCUGGAUUGAAAUCUCUCUAUACAUAAUCAACUCAUCAAAGGAAGUUGGUGAACACAGUCUUUAUCCUGGGAAGUAAUGUACACUAUCAAUAUCCAGGGCACGUAUUACAAGUAAAAGAGAGAAGAUAAAGAUUGGGGAACAAUGCCAGCCUCUGCCAGCAGCUCACUGCUUGCUGUCCCUGUGCUCUGAAGACACACCUUCUGCCCAGGUUAUCCAUGAAUACAGACACAUGCUGAGCCCUCUGGAUCCUUCAGGAGGAAUGCUAUUGUGCAGGUGCUCAUGGAACCCUGAUAUAGGCUGCCGCCAGACUCAGCUCUCUGGAGUCAUCCUCCUGCUCCCAUUAUGGCCUUCAAGGUUGUUCUUACAUUCUUGACAGCAUAAAUAUUGGAGAUUUAAAAAUAUACAAAUCAUAAGUUG